UAUCUCUGUAGAGUCUGCAUAUCAAUAAGCGGAGGAAAAGAAACUAACAAGGAUUCCCUCAGUAACGGCGAGUGAAGCGGGAAGAGCUCAAAUUUGAAAUCUUCAAGGUUUUACCUUGACGAAUUGUAGUUUAAAGAAGUGUUUUCUGUUGAAGUUUCGGUAAAAGUUCUUUGGAAUAGGACAUCAUAGAGGGUGAGAAUCCCGUAUUUGACCGUUAUUUUCAGCUGUGUGAUACACUUUCAAAGAGUCGGAUUGAUUGGGAAUGCAGUCCAAAAUGGGUGGUAAAUUUCAUCUAAAGCUAAAUAUUGGCGAGAGACCGAUAGCGAACAAGUACCGCUGAGGGAAAGAUGAAAAGAACUUUGAAAAGAGAGUUAAACAGUACGUGAAAUUGUCAAAAGGGAAGCGUUUGACACCAGUGUUGUUUUCUCGAAAAUCAAUUAAAAAUGGCUUGAUUUUGUGUUGUAUUGACCUUAAAAGCUUUCUUCACUUUUUUCAUGUCUUUUUUAAUGCACUUUUCGUUUAACAAGUCAACAUCAGUUUCUUUUGUUGUAAAAAGGUCAUUGGAAGGUGGCUUUCUUUUCGGAGAAAGUGUUUAUAGCCUUUGACUCCUGCAAUCGGAGAGACUGAGGUCUGCAGCGUAGAUCCUUCUUGGAUUAGAUUCAUUUGUGCUAAGUUAUAGCCUUUCAUAGACAACUUGUUGACUAUGAUCUGUCAUGUAGCUUACUCGCUUAUGCUAUUUUACCUACGCUUAGGAUGUUGAACGCGCACAGAGUCUC
rnacentral:rRNA from 1 species